rnacentral:rRNA from 1 species
GUCCACGCCCUAAACGAUGCAGACUAGCUGUUUCGAGUAUCGACCCUCGGAGUGGCGUAGCUAACGCGUUAAGUCUGCCGCCUGGGAAGUACGGCCGCAAGGCUAAAACUCAAAGGAAUAGACGGGGAUUCGCACAAGCGGUGGAACAUGAGGUUUAAUUCGACAAUAAACGAAGAACCUUACCAGGGCUUGAAAUGGUCACGAAUACUUGCUGAAAGGCAGGUAGUCUCUCAAGGACGUGAUCACAGGUGCUGCAUGGUUGUCGU